rnacentral:tRNA from 1 species
GAAGGUGGCUCAGUGGUAGAGUGCUUGCCUUGCAUGCAGUAAGGCCCUGGGUUCGAUUCCUUAGCACCAUCU